rnacentral:rRNA from 1 species
CCCUUAGAUGUCCUGGGCCGCACGCGCGUUACACUGAUGCAUUCAACGAGCUUAUAACCUUGGCCGAGAGGCCUGGGCAAUCUUGUUAACGUGCAUCGUGAUAGGGAUAGAUUAUUGAAAUUAUUAAUCUUGAACGAGGAAUUCCUAGUAAACGCAGAUCAUCAAUCUGCAUUGAUUACGUCCCUACCCUUUGUACACACCGCCCGUCGCACCUACCGAUUGGAUGGUCCGGUGAGGCCUCGGGAUUGUGGUUCUUGCCGCUUUAUUGUGGCGUGACCGCGAGAACUUGUCUAAACCUUAUCAUCUAGAGGAAGGUGAAGUCGUAACA